AGGCGUCUAGAUGACUACUAAGCCAGGAGCAGACAGCUACUUGUUCAUAUGGUACAACUGUAUAGAUAUGUUGGUAAUUUUUUUACCUUGAAAGAAUAUGUUGUAUCUCCAGUAUGUCUGUUUGCAUUAUAUAUCGGUUCACUGAAACUUCUGAUGCACGGAGAGCUCUGCAAUGUAAAGUACUUUCAGUAGUGUACUCCUCUCAAAUUCUGAACCCCCUAUGGAGGUGUACAAGUUGAUUAAAUGGUAUUUUUCAACAGUUGGAAAUAUGUUCUGUCAAUCUAUAAAAGUUUAUAUUUUGCUGCAUCAAACUAGUACCUUCCACUAGAUGACUGCAUUCUGCACCUAUUUUCACCUGUUUUUGAAAUAUGCAGUGCCUACUCAAGUGACUUGCUGCAUCUUAUAGUUUGGCUGCAUCCAUGCCUUUUAGCAAUGGGAGACACAAAGUAGUAGUCCACUAGUCCCAGGUCCCAGCAUCUCAAGCUCCAGUUGCACACACAUCUACAGAGAUAAAAGGAAGACCCUCAAAAGUUUGGAUCUCACGAAUGUAAUUGUUCAUACUGACUGGUCUGUCAAUCAUUACAGGUCAACCUUUCUCAAAGGAUGCCUCGCACCUUUCCCUGCAGGUUUUCCUGGGCUGCCUUUUCUGGUCUCUGGGUGAGUGCAGCCAUUGCACGCGUGCUCAGACAGAGUCACCGGAGCACAGGAAGAAAGACUGCGCUCCAGGGCUGCACAUAACAAAGCUGUGGUGGUUAAAAUGCCAACGCAGACUUGGCACUGAUUCUUUUCAGCCUUGUUCUGUCUGUAGGUUGGACCGGUGGUGAUUGCUGAAGAACGAAGAUGGUAGACUGACCUAACCUCUGAGCAGGUGAAAAAAAAAAUCAUUUCCGUAUGUAACAUCAUUGGGUCCGUGUGUUAAAUUAUUGAAGCCUAUAUUGGUUAAUGAUGAGCCGAUGCAAUUGCAUGUGUGUUUACACACUGUUCCUUGUGUCCUGGUGUCAAAGUUGUUGGUGGCGCCUUAUAGGGGCUAGCUAAUCUGGGUAGGCUCUUGGGUGGAUCUGAGUUGUUAUAUAUGACAAAAUCUAUCUAACCUGAUUGUCUCAACCUGCCCCUGUUCUGUACUUUGUCCUUCCUUUCUUUUUUUUCUCGGGGGAAAUAGCUGAAAAAUAGUAGGGAGGUGUGCUACUGUAUGGUUCCUUUUAUUUUAGGUAACAAAUAGUAGCUUCUCAAGUCAUACUUGAACCAGUUUUAGUUAGUCUUACACUCUUACUUCCGUAUUUCUUGAACCAGCAGGACAUGCCCAGAUUACAGCAGUACUGCCUCUGUUCAAAACAGAAAAAACAGGGGUACCAGUGUACAUGCCUUGUAUCAGAACUUGCACCCUUCUUAAAGUUAAUUUCUUGAAACAUUUCACCAGCCGGCCCAGUUUAACUGUUUUACUGAACCCCAAAUCCAUGACCUUCAGUUAUUGUCUGAACAUGAUGGCUGGGUACCAAGUACUAACCAACACACAUGCCAUGGAAUGUAGAUCAUUAGAUCAGGAACCAGGUCCUAGGAAUUCAGCAUCAUGUCUGAACCAGACUUACUAAUGGCACUCUAAAUCUAUUCACCAAGUUGGGGCAUCUCUUGCCGUCCACUUGGCGAGAGGAACAGAGGACAUCAACUGGGAAUUUGAUAGUGUCAGUUGACCUUAACCAUGCCGCUAGCUCUCUCUUGCAUGCAGGGUUGCAGCAGCACAGCACAUGAAGACACCGAACGCGGUUGGGAGCAAAAGGCGCUGCCUUUUCCCCUGUGUUCUUGUCUAUUGCACUUGGAUGCUCGCCGCUGCCGUUUGCAAGGCCUCAGAUGCUGCUGAAGCAAAGGGGAAAAGCCCGUCGUGCUGGGUGUGAUCAGCAUUAUCCACGGUACAGGCCAGCUGCUAGUCUUACCACGUCCUGAUGGUCAGCUUCGCCCAGGCCCAUGGCUGAUGCUUCUUUGCACUGCAUGCAUCUCACUGGUUGGUCAGAGAUGAGAGGCGCGUUGUAGGUCAUACAGGGAAUUCUGGUGGCGUGCGUCCACGGACGCGUACCGUGCGGCACAUUUACGGCAGUUGCGCCAUGCGGCCCUGUUCCCAGGACAGACGGUGCCCGGAAGGACGGGCACGCCAUGGCCUCCCUCACCGAGGCCAUGGAGCAGCGCCAUUGAUGGCCAGGGUUAUCGUUCUUGGAAGGGGUGGUUGCUGGCUGCUGCUGUGCCCUCCCUGUGCAAGCUAGCUGGAGGCCACUACGGCGGCUACAGCUCCUACCACCCCACGGCAGCGUUGCAGGGGUGACGCAGAUGGAGAAGGUGAGACUCGGGCGCCGACGGCAGCAGCGGUAACCCUUGCCAGCCGGGGACCAUGCGCCAGCGCGUGGGUGCGCUAACCUCGAGGACGAAUGCUGUAAUGGCGUGUCCUCGUCCGACCCUCCAUGGGAAAGGAGACCCGAAUUGAAGCAGGCGAGACAAGAGGCAGCAGGCAGGGAUCCGUCGGAGCCCAGCUAGGACCACCGCGCAGGGACGGCCGGAGAUGGCGAAGAUCCAGAAGCUGGGGGCAUGCAGGCAGCUGGCACGGCGGCCCUGCCCAUACACUGUGCAGGCCGCAGCGUGGAUUCUACUUUGUACAGCUGGUGCCUGGACUUACCAGUUUACCACUACACGAUUACAUGUGGUCAACUGGUCAAGGUCAACGGUUCAACACUGCACGACCGUUUCAGACCACCGUCCGGUAGACGCAGAUCGCAGCAAGGUGCAAGGCUACGGCCGGGAUGAAACGCUGGUUCCAGUUACAACGAGUGGUCUGUUACUGUUCUACUCGUGAGAACGGCCACGGCCCUUGCUCUCAACGAGGCUACGCCGCUACGGAGUACACUACACCCAUUGGGCGCCAGAGGUUUCAGACUUCUGGGACGGCGAGGCCGGCCGGUUGGUCGGAAUCCGCAUCUCUGCAGGCAGCAGGCAGCCGGCCGGGGAGGAUCGGCGGUGGCCGCCAAGCGCAACGGGCAGCCCCGGCGCGGUAGCCUUGUCGCUUCCCCUGGCGCGGCGCGGCGCGGCGCGUGGCGUGGCAGUGGCACUGCUCGGUCGCGGCCGCGUCCAAGCGAGGGCGAGACCGGAGCUCGCCGCGCGAUGCGCGCAUGUGACCAGACCGCCGGCGUGCGGCCGGCCGGCCACGGCCACGGCCACGGACGUCAGCUUAGCGUGCGGCCAAAGGCUCGAUCUGCAGCUGGCGCCUGUCUGAACUCGCUGCUAAGCAUGCAGGAGGGAGUAAUCGCUAGAUCUGAGUGUGCCGGUACGAGUGCCGGCGAUGGGUAAACUUUUGUACGGUGCGGCCGUUGAUGUACUGCAAGGGCAUUGUUUAAUUAUCCAGGGCUAGGUACAGUAACUUUUCCUUUUGACCAUGGUAGCGGGACUUGAGGACCAAGAUGCAGUGACUACUUCUGUUCUGGCAA